rnacentral:lncRNA from 10 species
AGACACACAGGGUGGUUAAGAACAACAAACACAGGUAACAUCUGCUGAAGGCUUCUACAAGCUGAGCACUAACAGGCAAACCACUUCAAUAGAACAUGGCUGGCGGCCAUAUGGACAUAUUUGAAUCCAACAAUUAAUUCAGCAAAGAAAGCUGCUUGUGGCAAGUUUUGAAUGUGCCAUUCCAGGUAGUGCUUUGAUGAUAAAUGAGGAGAAGAUUGCAAAGAAAAUGACAGCAACAUUUAUAAAAGGG